UAUCGGAACGUGCCCAGUCGUGGGGGAUAACGUAGAGAAAUUUACGCUAAUACCGCAUGAGAUCCAAGGAUGAAAGCGGGGGACUUCGCAAGGAGCCUCGCGCGACUGGAGCGGCUGAUAUCAGAUUAGGUUGUUGGUGAGGUAAAAGCUCACCAAGCCGACGAUCUGUAGCUGGUUUGAGAGAACGACCAGCCACACUGGGACUGAGACACGGCCCAG
rnacentral:rRNA from 1 species